AAGUCUGGUGCCAGCAGCCGCGGUAACUUCGGCUCCAAUAGCGUAUAUUAACAUUGUUGCAUUUAAAAAGCUCGUAGUUGAAUUUAUUUUUAUAAAUUUUAUAUAAGUAGUAUUAUUUUAUAAUAAAAUUAUUUAAAUUUAUUUUUUAUAAUUUUAUUAUAUAUUAAACGGUAAUAUUAUUUAUAAUUUAUAAAAAAAUUUUAUGUUAUAUUAUUUAGUAAUAGAUAAUAUAAUAUAAAUAUUACUGUGAAAAAAUUAGAGUGUUUAAAGCAUGUAUAUAAAAUUAAAAAAUAUAUUUUCUGAAUAUAUUUUUUUAGCUUGAAUAUAUUAGCAUGGAAUAAUAAUAUUAUAAUAUUUUUAUAUUAUUUUGUUGGUUAAAUAUAAAAAUAUAUGAUUAAUAGGGGCAAUUGGGGGUAUUUAUAUUUCAUAGUCAGAGGUGAAAUUCUGGGAUUUAUGAAAGAUAAACAAAUGCGAAAGCAUUUACCAAAAAUGUUUUCAUUAAUCAAGAACGAAAGUUAGGGGAUCAAAGAGGCUUAGAUACCCUCGUAG
rnacentral:rRNA from 1 species